rnacentral:ribozyme from 1 species
AGUUGCAAGUUUGAGGCCAUAGCAGAAGCACUCAUAGAGUAACCCUGUCAGCUUCCAAUGAAUCUGCAAAUUCUGCU